rnacentral:rRNA from 1 species
UACGGAGGGUGCAAGCGUUAUCCGGAUUCACUGGGUUUAAAGGGUGCGUAGGUGGGCAGGUAAGUCAGUGGUGAAAUCUCUGGGCUUAACCCGGAAACUACCGUUGAUACUAUCUGUCUUGAAUAUAGUGGAGGUGAGCGGAAUAUGUCAUGUAGCGGUGAAAUGCUUAGAUAUGACAUAGAACAUCGAUUGCGAAGGCAGCUCGCUACACUAUGAUUGACACUGAGGCACGAAAGCGUGGGGAUCAAACAGG